AUUGAACGCUGGCGGCAUGCUUUACACAUGCAAGUCGAACGGCAGCGCGGGCUUCGGCCUGGCGGCGAGUGGCGAACGGGUGAGUAAUGCAUUGGAACGUGCCCAGUAGUGGGGGAUAGCCCGGCGAAAGCCGGAUUAAUACCGCAUACGACCUGAGGGUGAAAGCGGGGGACCGAAAGGCCUCGCGCUAUUGGAGCGGCCGAUGUCGGAUUAGCUAGUUGGUGGGGUAAAGGCUUACCAAGGCGACGAUCCGUAGCUGGUCUGAGAGGACGACCAGCCACACUGGGACUGAGACACGGCCCAGACUCCUACGGGAGGCAGCAGUGGGGAAUUUUGGACAAGGGGGGCAACCCUGAUCCAGCCAUGCCGCGUGCGGGAAGAAGGCCUUCGGGUUGUAAACCGCUUUUGUUCGGGAAGAAAUCCUCUGGGCUAAUACCCCGGGGGGAUGACGGUACCGGAAGAAUAAGCACCGGCUAACUACG
rnacentral:rRNA from 1 species